rnacentral:rRNA from 1 species
UCCGUAGGUGGCAAGCGUUAUCCGGAUUCACUGGGCGUAAAGAGCGCGUAGGUGGUUCUGCAAGUCAGGUGUGAAAUUCCCCGGCUUAACCGGGGAAAGCCAUCUGAUACUGCUGGACUUGAGGGCGGUAGAGGGAGGUGGAAUUCCCGGUGUAGUGGUGAAAUGCGUAGAUAUCGGGAGGAACACCAGUGGCGAAGGCGGCCUCCUGGGCCGUUCCUGACACUGAGGCGCGAAAGCGUGGGGAGAGAACAGG